rnacentral:lncRNA from 1 species
GUUGCUUUAUUCCAAAGGAUGGGAGCUACUUGGAUCAUCAAUAUGAUCUCAAGAAAGGAACUCCUAAUGUGGUUCAUUUCCUUAUCCUUUCUUUUUUUCUUUUUGUUUUUUUGUUUUUUUUGUUUUUGUUGUUUUCCUUAAGACUUAGCCAUUCUUCUUCUUCUCUCCACUCUAACCCAAGCCAAAACCUUUUGUGCAAACAUUUAACUAUUGUUUUCAAACAUUAGAAACCUAAGCCUUAUACUUUUGAUUUUCA